UUGCAGUGAUGACAAACUUAGGACACCUUUGGAAUAACCGUGAAAACGAUCAUCAUGUUCUGAGCAAC